rnacentral:lncRNA from 1 species
CUCCAGCAUUUCCCAGACAGUGGGGGCGAGGUGAGGAUAUGGAGAGCCAUUGAGAAGAAGGAUGUCGGCUCCUACAGGGAAGAAAGACCACUUCCUGCUCUUCCAUGCUUUGCAUGGAGCAUAAACCACGUACAUGGGAUUGGUGUGCAUUGGCUUGAGUUUCCAAGAUUGCCAACUGGAGGUGCGGGCUCCAUUGAUCCAUGGGAAGGGAGCUGGCGGCCAUCCUGGGUGAGCCUCUGCUAACCUCAGCCCCUCUGCAGCCACAUUUCCAUAUCGGAACAAAACCCGAGCCCAGCUUGGGAAAGUGGGGCAAGUGCCCAGUCAACGCAGAAGGAAACCGAAGGCCUGGGAACAAGAGACAACUCUGCCACCAGCUGGAUCUGGCACCUUGGGCAACUCACUCCCCAGCUAAUAAAUGAGGCUCUCAAAUGGUAAUGUCCCUUCGCCCCUAACCUCCUCUAAGUACCAGCUGCACAAGCCUCCAAUAAUCCUGUGUCUCGGGUACCUUAACACAACAUUGGGCUUAUAAUAAGAGCUCAACCAAUGGCAGUGCUCUCCUUCUAUCUCACCACCAGAUACUCUUGCUAUCUCUAUCUAAUAGAUGUGGCUCUCAGGGAGCAAAUUCUAUAGCCAGAACAGGAAUCCAGGUCUGAGUCCUCAGCCAGCACACUAAGCCACUGCCCCUCACUGUCAUCUACUUCUGUGCAUGCCCAGGAAUUACUCUACGUACACCUCAAUUGUCCUCAUCGCAGCAACAUGAAAUCCUGCCUCCCUGGACUAUGGGCAAUUGAAGACGGGGCACUGUUGUUUUAUUCCUUAUAUCUGAACCAGCCCAGGGCCUAAAUAAAUGCAAAAAACACUUUAUUACUUUUCCUAGCCCCAGUGCUUGGCACUCAGCAGGUAUGCAAUAUAUAUUUGUUGAAUUAAUAAUUCUGUAAUAUGAGAUUUCUCACUUAGCCAAAUGGAUAACUAGAUCUUAACUGAGGGAGAGGACGCUGUGCCUUUUUCAUGGGAAAUCUAAACAUGUGGAAAGAAAAGAGCUAAGAACGGUCUGGUAGUUUUACUAGGGAGAGGCCAAAUUGUGCUCCUCUGCCUAAGAGCUUCAAUUUCCUCAGCAACUCCAUUGUGACUCUGCAGAGAUGAAUGCCAUCAACUGAUAAGGGUGCCCGAGGCCAUGAGCCACUGAAAUCUUCUUCCCACAGAUGCUCAGCCCUGGCCAUGUCUGCAGGGGGCUGCAAUCUUUCUCUGGGCACAGUUUCCUGCUCAUUUCCUCAUCUAUAACAUGAUAACAGAGUAGCAUCACUCAGCCUCUGGAGAAGGAAGCAGGAACUAUAGGGUACUAAGAUCUGUGUUCUGGCCACUGGCAGAUCCAGACAACACACAAGAUCUUCUGGAAGAUUUAGCACCCACUGGGGCACUUCAAGAUCAGAUGCACCAAGUUCAAUGCCAAGGGGACCCAAUUCUGUCAUCUCAGAGGCACCAAGACAUGUGACUGCCAUUAUCAAGAUAUUACCCCAGCUCCCCAGUCAUGUCAAGUACAGCGAGGGUGAGACUUCUCCACUGUAGACCCGAGUCUGACUUCACCUCCAGCCCAUGACUGCUAUUUGUUCAACAGAUCCACAGCUGGGAGGAACACACCCCCUAAACACAUGGUCUGAG